rnacentral:tRNA from 1 species
UCCCAGGUGGCUCAGAUGGUAAAAGCAUCUGCCUGCAAUGUGGGAGACCCAGGUUCAAUCCCUGAGUAGGGAA